CCCUUAGAUGUCCUGGGCCGCACGCGUGCUACACUGACACUUGCAACGAGUACUUCCCGAAUUCGAAAGAAAUACGGUAAUCAUCAAUAAGUGUCGUGAUGGGGAUAGAUCUUUGGAAUUAUGGAUCUUGAACGAGGAAUGCCUAGUAAGCGUAGGUCAUUAGCCUACGCUGAUUAAGUCCCUGCCCUUUGUACACACCGCCCGUCGCUCCUACCGAUUUCGAGUGGUCCGGUGAAUUUUUUGGACCGAGACGGCCUUGAGCUGUCUUGGAAAGUCAAAUAAACCAUACUACUUAGAGGAAGGAGAAGUCGUANCA
rnacentral:rRNA from 1 species